ensembl:lncRNA
ACAAGCACAAAUCCAGCCCAAUCGUGUUCUGGGGAGUAUUUUUGGUGGGGUUCUUGGUAAAAUUUGCAUUCCAGGGGCUAAAUAUCACGUUACUGGGGUCGCUUUAACCCGCGGGAACAAUGUUAAAGUAGCCAAAUUCCGAGAGAAAACCGCAGACCAGGCAACACUGCCAACAGCAUGCAUGCAGUACUGUUGAGUAGAUUUGUUUGGUCAUAGCAUCCCCAGUGGUGACUUUAGGAAAAGUCGAUUAAAGGCUAUGAGUACAUUUUGCUUCAUUUGUAACUUUGUAACUUUUGCCCAGUUGGUGGCGUUAGCUAAAUGAAUUGGCCUGAUCUCAAUGUCAGACACUGAAUUUUGUUCCAAUUUGAAAAGGUACCGCCUCACUUCUGGCGUGGCAUCGUUGCGGUCGACAUUUUUAGCAUGUUAACAGAAAAUGGUAUAGAGAAUUAAAAACCCAUUUUUUGUUUACCCUCCGUUUGAAUAUCACUUUCACUGUGGGAAAGAUUAUGCAAAUGCAGAAAUCCAUUCUUGAACUCUUAUAGACUUCAGUUAUCUGUCUUUUUCUGAAAUAGGCCAGGCACAAACUAGCCCAGCACCACGGACAGGUAAUUAUACACCUUUGAAUUAGAACCAGAUCUGUUUUUCUCACNNNNNNNNNNNNNNNNNNNNNNNNNNNNNNNNNNNNNNNNNNNNNNNNNNNUUCUUUUUUUCUUUUUUUUUCAACGGCACAACAAAGUUUUCAAUUAUGUACCAUUUAUUCCUCAAUUAUGGGGUCAAGCUCACCAACAGCCAGGGUUGCCAGGUUUUCACAACAAAAGCCACCAAAUCGCUACUCAAAACAAGCACAAAUCCAGCCCAAUCGUGUUCUGGGGGUAUUUUUGGUGGGGUUCCUGGUAAAAUUUGCAUUCCAGGGGCUAAAUAUCACGUUACUGGGGUCGCUUUGACCCGCGGGAACAAUGUUAAAUGAAGUAGCCAAUUUCCGAGAGAAAACCGCAGACCAGGCAACACUGCCAACAGCAUGCAUGCAGUACUGUUGAGUGGAUUUGUUUGGUCAUAGCACCCCCAGUGGUGACUUUAGGAGAAGUGGAUUAAAGGCUAUGAGUACAUUUUGCUUCAUUUGUAACUUUGUAACUUUUGCCCAGUUGGUGGCGUUAGCUAAAUGAAUUGGCCUGAUCUCAGUGUCAGACACUGAAUUUUGUUCCAAUUUGCAAAGGUACCGCCUCACUUCUGGCGUGGCAUCGUUGCGGUCGACAUUCUUAGCAUGUUAACAGAAAAUGGUAUAGAGAAUUAAAAAUCCAUUUCUUGUUUACCGUCCGUUUGAAUAUCACUUUCACUGUGGGAAAGAUUAUGCAAAUGCAGAAAUCCAUUCUUGAACUCUUAUAGACUUCAGUUAUCUCUCUUUUUCUGAAAUAGGCCAGGCACAAACUAGCGCAGCACAACUGACAGGUAAUUAUACACCUUUGAAUUAGAACCAGAUCUGUUUUUCAAACCACCUGUAAAACAGCCUAAACAUUUGAUUGAACUGGACAAAUC